rnacentral:rRNA from 1 species
CGGCAUGCUUAACACAUGCAAGUCGAACGAGACCUUCGGGUCUAGUGGCGCACGGGUGCGUAACGCGUGGGAAUCUGCCCUUAGGUACGGAAUAACUCAGAGAAAUUUGUGCUAAUACCGUAUGAUGUCGAAAGACCAAAGAUUUAUAGCCUAAGGAUGAGCCCGCGUAAGAUUAGCUUGUUGGUGAGGUAAAAGCUCACCAAGGCGACGAUCUUUAGCUGGUCUGAGAGGAAGACCAGCCACAUUGGGACUGAGACACGGCCCAAACUCC